AAACACCAAGAUUUUGGGCUUAAAAACCUAGACCAUCAAGGCUACGAAAACUACUGCUGCUGAAUGAGAGAGUAAUGUAAUUCUGGAGCUCCUUAAGGAAAAGAGUAGUGCGAUGCAACAUCAGAACAGUGGCCAAGCGAUCUCCACACCACCCAUGAACUUCAGCCUUGAACCGAAGAUGAUUCAUCAAAUGCCUUAGGAAAGACAGUAUGGAGUUGGAAGAGAAGCAGGGAUCUCCAUGAAGGGCAGUCGGUUAUAGUUGGGGUGUGUGGAGGAACAGGUCCUGUUCUCGCUGUUGUUACUCCCACAUAGGCAGACUCUGUAAUUGAUUAUGUGUGGGUAGGGCCCUAUUGAAAUUCAGGAGAUUCUGCAGUAGUGCGGGGUUCUUUUUGUGAAAGUUGAGUUGCAAGAUCAGGACCCUACUGUGCCUCCUUACUGUGCAUUCUGUCACUGUCUCAUUGAUUGUACUGGAACCUGCCUAUUGGGAUAAUCACCAAAUACUAUAUUCCUCAAAACUUCUUAAUGGCACUGAGGCUUUGUGGAUAGUUGGUCACAUGGUGAGAAAAUUCAGCUAUUCUGCAGAUCACAUGGCUGGCAGACACAGAAAUAAUUUCACAAAUGAAAAUGGAAGAAGGAAAAUCCAUGAAGAUUGUAUUGAAGAAUAAUACUGAAAAAAAGGAAGUCUUUAGACCACUGUCUACAGAUCUGGAUCAUUUCUUUGAAAAGACAGUUGAAGAAACAGUGAACAAAAAUGGUCUACUUUGCCUGUAGUGCUGAGCUAUUGUGAUAGUUUGAUUUUUAUGAUUUGCAUCAAGCAUGAAGCUUUCAAAGCCGUAUGUCAAAGAGAGCAGGCAGUGCUGGGGCUUGCUUUGUACUGUUGCCACUUUAAUUCUCUGUGACAAGCUGCAGAGCCACAGAAGCAGCCUGGCAGCAGCACUCGAGCUCCAAGUGCAGCAGAAGUAGGGAGCCCUGGAGGAGCCCGUCACAGCUCUCGGUCACUGGCCAGCUCAUUGCUUGUAGAAGUUAGCAUGCUUAAGUUGACAUUGAUCCCUCGAGGGACUAGCUACCAGCUAAACAAAACUGGAGCACAGGGCUAGCCAAGCAUAGAUUCUCUGUGACCCUGUGUCAGGACCUGUCAUCCUGUUGUAAAAGCCAGCUAUGUUACCUCCUUGUCCUCUGAGACUCCCAGGGAAUCUCCAAGUAAAUGAAGAGGGGAGUUAUUUACAUCUCCUUCAUGUCUCCAGCCCAAUCUUUCUUGUUAAAAAAAAACAACAAAAAACAAAAAAACCAAAAAAA